GAUGAACGCUGGCGGCGUGCCUAAUACAUGCAAGUCGAGCGAACGGACGAGAAGCUUGCUUCUCUGAUGUUAGCGGCGGACGGGUGAGUAACACGUGGAUAACCUACCUAUAAGACUGGGAUAACUUCGGGAAACCGGAGCUAAUACCGGAUAAUAUUUUGAACCGCAUGGUUCAAAAGUGAAAGACGGUCUUGCUGUCACUUAUAGAUGGAUCCGCGCUGCAUUAGCUAGUUGGUAAGGUAACGGCUUACCAAGGCAACGAUGCAUAGCCGACCUGAGAGGGAGAUCGGCCACCCGGGAUGUGAGACAGGGUCCAGACUCCUACGGGAGGCCGCAGCAGGGAAUCUUACGCAAAGGGGGAGAGCCUGACGGAGCAACGCCGCGUGAGUGAUGAAGGUGUUAGGAUCGUAAAGCUCUGUUGUUCGGGGAGAACAUAUGUGUAAGUAACCGUGCAGAUCUUGACGGUACCGAAUCAGAAAGCCACGGCUAACUACGUG
rnacentral:rRNA from 1 species